rnacentral:rRNA from 1 species
UACAGAGGGUACAAGCGUUGUUCGGAAUUAUUGGGCGUAAAGAGCGCGUAGGCGGUCUAGAUAGUCAGAUGUGAAAGCCCCGGGCUCAACCUGGGAAUGGCAUUUGAUACUCUGAGGCUGGAGUACGGGAGAGGAGAGUGGAAUUCCCAGUGUAGAGGUGAAAUUCGUAGAUAUUGGGAAGAACACCGGUGGCGAAGGCGGCUCUCUGGACCGUAACUGACGCUGAGGCGCGAAAGCGUGGGGAGCAAACAGG